rnacentral:lncRNA from 1 species
AAAAAAUUCGUAUAAAUUAACUCGUAAGAUAUAAAGUUACAAGCAGAAACGAUAACAAAAUACAUAUCCUUAAAAAUUUUAGUGAAUUUAAUAAACAGGAAAUUAAUUUAAAUGUUAAAAAUCGAAAGUUCAUGUUUGCAAACCGAGUCAGCUUCAUUAUCAAGAGGAUAAUGAAUAACAACUAUUGCUAAUGACCUCGUUAUUGAUGUAGAAAACAAUAAAUGUACCUUUGAACUGCGUUAUGUUUAAGAAGAUCCCAAUAAUAUAAAUAUUCCCACAGUUUAAUGUAUCUGGCAAUUAGCAUUUACUACCGCAUAUUAUCAACUUACAAGUUAGUUGCAAUAAGUAUAGUUUAGGUAAAGAUUAUUGCAGUCUGGUUUUACAGACUUUUAAAGCGAGUGCACUUCACUAUAAUUAAGGAAAUAAACGUUUCUUAGCACGCAGAUGCACUUAUUUUGGACUCUUAACUCAGAUAAGUCUUCUAGGAGUGGCUAAAAUGUAAGAAAGUCUAGAUGAAUCUGUGAAAUAUAAUCCGGCAUCUUUUGUUCUUUUAACGAGAAGUCUCCCACGCGUCACCCCCUACUAAAAUAUUAUCUUUGUUCUGAAGAUUUUUGCCAUUUUCGGCUUGCACAGGAGAUGCUCUACUUGAAGUUCCGUGAGAUUAGAGUUACUCUUCGCAAAUUAGGUAUUAAACAGGUUUACACCGACAGAAAUGUAGACUUUAACAACAUCAAAUGUAUGUAAAUAUGUACGAUAGUAAUCUUAAGAGAACAGGACAUGAGAUUUUUCAGAAAUAUUAUAAGAUACUGUUUCAGAAGUUUGUAACCUUUGAACAUCUUGUUCCGCUUUAUAAACCAGCAUCAAAGGGAAAUGAUAAGAUGGAGAUUCUUUACUUCCUAUUAUCCACAAGCAACAUAAGUAGUUGGUUCCAGUUUGAAUUUUAAACAGGAAAAAAUAUACUUUUAAGAAGCAUAAUAGUGAUAUAUAUUUAGAUGUUAAUGUUAAAAAUUUUCUCGAAUGUCACUUAACUAAACAAAGAUCAAAAAUGAAUCUCUGUUAAGGUCAAUUUUAGUUUGGUUUCACG